rnacentral:rRNA from 1 species
GACGAACGCUGGCGGCGUGCCUAAUACAUGCAAGUUGAGCGAUGAAGAUUGGUGCUUGCACCAAUUUGCAGAGCAGCGAACGGGUGAGUAACGCGUGGGGAAUCUGCCUUUGAGCGGGGGACAACAUUUGGAAACGAAUGCUAAUACCGCAUAACAACUUUAAACAUAAGUUUUAAGUUUGAAAGAUGCAAUUGCAUCACUCAAGGAUGAUCCCGCGUUGUAUUAGCUAGUUGGUGAGGUAAAGGCUCACCAAGGCGAUGAUACAUAGCCGACCUGAGAGGGUGAUCGGCCACAUUGGGACUGAGACACGGCCCAAACUCCUACGGGAGGCAGCAGUAGGGAAUCUUCGGCAAUGGACGAAAGUCUGACCGAGCAACGCCGCGUGAGUGAAGAAGGUUUUCGGAUCGUAAAACUCUGUUGGUAGAGAAGAACGUUGGUGAGAGUGGAAAGCUCAUCAAGUGACGGUAACUACCCAGAAAGGGACGGCUAACUACGUG